rnacentral:lncRNA from 1 species
UUAAUGAUGAGAAACAGAGACAAGUUCAAUCUAUUUCUCAAAUCAGUCCAGACUCUAUGUCUGUUAAUGCUCAUGCAAACAAGCACUCACUUGGGUCUAAUCAGGCCACAGUGCCUAGACCCCCUAUUUUCAGACCUAAAAUUAAUUUUGAACAAAGGAGAGGGCCCUUAUUUUGCAGAUACUGCAAGAAAUCUGGGCACUUAAUUGAUAAGUGCUACAAG